rnacentral:rRNA from 1 species
CCUACGGGAGGCAGCAGUGAGGAAUAUUGGUCAAUGGACGAGAGUCUGAACCAGCCAAGCCGCGUGAAGGAUGACUGCCCUCUGGGUUGUAAACUUCUUUUAUAUGGGAAUAAAAUGUUCCACGUGUGGGAUUUUGUAUGUACCAUAUGAAUAAGGAUCGGCUAACUCCGUGCCAGCAGCCGCGGUAAUACGGAGGAUCCGAGCGUUACCCGGAUUUAUUGGGUUUAAAGGGCGCGUAGGUGGAUUGUUAAGUCAGGUGUGAAAGUUUGCGGUUCAACGGGAAAAUUGCAGUUGAAACUGGCAGUCUUGAGUACAGUAGCGGUGGGCGGAAUUCGUGGUGUAGCGGUGGAAUGCGUAGAUAUCACGAAGAACACCGAUUGCGAAGGCAGCUCACUGGACUGCAACUGACACUGAGGCUCGAAAGUGUGGGUAGCAAACAGGAUUAGAUACCCCUGUAGUC